UACGUAGGGGGCAAGCGUUGUCCGGAUUUACUGGGCGUAAAGAGCGUGUAGGCGGCCAAACAGGUCCGUUGUGAAAACUGGGAGGCUCAACCUCCAGACGUCGACGGAAACCGUGUGGCUAGAGUCCGGAAGAGGAGAGUGGAAUUCCUGGUGUAGCGGUGAAAUGCGCAGAUAUCAGGAAGAACACCAAUGGCGAAGGCAGCUCUCUGGGACGGUACUGACGCUGAGACGCGAAAGCGUGGGGAGCGAACAGG
rnacentral:rRNA from 1 species